rnacentral:rRNA from 1 species
AUACGGAGGGUGCGAGCGUUAAUCGGAAUCACUGGGCGUAAAGCGCGCGCAGGCGGUCUUUUAAGUUGGAUGUGAAAGCCUACGGCUCAACCGUAGAACUGCAUCCAAAACUAUUAGACUAGAGUGUGGGAGAGGAAGAUGGAAUUAGUUGUGUAGGGGUAAAAUCCGUUGAGAUAACUAGGAAUACCAAAAGCGAAGGCAAUCUUCUGGAACACUACUGACGCUGAGGCGCGAAAGCGUGGGGAGCAAACAGGAUUAGAAACCCGAGUAGUCC